rnacentral:rRNA from 1 species
CCAGCUCCAAUAGCGUAUAUUAAAGUUGUUGCAGUUAAAAAGCUCGUAGUUGAACUUCGGAACCGGUCGAUUGGUCCGUCCUCUGGAUUGUGUACUGAUCGAUCUGUUCUUCUUCGCGAAGACCGCGUGUGCCCUUAACUGGGUGUGCACGGGAUUCACGACGUUUACUUUGAAAAAAUUAGAGUGUUCAAAGCAGGCAUUCGCUUGAAUAUCUCAGCAUGGAAUAAUAGAAUAGGACUUUGGUCUUAUUUUGUUGGUUUCCGAGACCGAAGUAAUGAUUAAUAGGGACAGUUGGGGGCAUUCGUAUUUCAUUGUCAGAGGUGAAAUUCUUGGAUUUAUGAAAGACGAACUUCUGCGAAAGCAUUUGCCAAGGAUGUUUUCAUCG